rnacentral:rRNA from 1 species
CGGGUGAGUAACGCGUGAGGAACCUGCCUCAGAGAGGGGGAUAACACACCGAAAGGUGUGCUAAUACCGCAUAACAUAUGANAGGGGCAUCCCUUUCAUAUCAAAGAUUUAUUGCUCUGAGAUGGCCUCGCGUCCAAUUAGCUAGUUGGUGAGGUAACGGCCCACCAAGGCGACGAUUGGUAGCCGGACUGAGAGGUUGAACGGCCACAUUGGGACUGAGACACGGCCCAGACUCCUACGGAAGGCAGCAG